GGACUGUCCCCCGUGUGUGGGGAACCAUGCUGGAGCAGGGGAGAAUGCGAGGAGUUUUCUCCCUUGAGGAGGAAGGAGUGGCAGGGACUGACUGUAACCCCAUUCCCUACCCCCUGUGCCACUGGAGGGGAGGAGCUUUCUUCCUUGUACGGUCAAGUCAGCCAGGGACAAUUGCUAGUGCUCUCCUCUGGUGCUUUCUGGGAUUGUGGUAAAGAAGCGAGUCUGUUUGUUUGGCUCCUUCAUCAGUGCUGCUGAUGUUAGUCCAAGGUGAGUAAAUUACCAAAGAAUAGUUAAUAGGUGUUUGUUCCUAGUCUGUGUUGUUCAUUUUCCUCAUAGAUCCAUUUUUAAGAUUCAUUGCUAGAAUGCCAAGUGAUCUUACUGGACUUAGUCUGUCCACAAAGGUUACAUUCAUGUUGUGGGUGACUCUUGUGACGCCCUUAAUGAGGGUGACUCCUGAACUUCAUUAUGGGGAUAUAUGUGCUGCCUCCAUUUCAAGUCUUUGGCAGCUUUUUGUAUCCUAAGGAUUAAGAUACUUUUGUAUCAGUUGUUUUUCUCCAGAAUUUCUCUUGCUUUGUAUAUAGCUUGAAGGUGCAGCGUUAACAGAUUAUAUGAUCCAGCUACGUUGAGUGGUGGUUUGGUGUCUUAAUUUCUGCCCCUCAGCUGAGAGACACUUACUGACCUUGUGAACUAGUGUCCCUUACCCGGUGCAGAUGUGAAAUAAAGCAGGCUUGCCUAGACCCUUCAUGGAGGUCACCUGUUUUGUUUGUUUGCAAGAAACCAAGAACAGAUGGGCUGGCGGUUACUGCAUCCUGGCAAAGCAGCAGCAUCUUUCAGCAGCCAGGUAGGAUCUGUGAGAUCUGUUUGUGGUGGUCUGAUACCCUACCGUUACUUUCCAUGAACGCACUUUUCCAGGGUGUCUGAUGUUCUUAAUUAACUUCUAUUGCAAUUGCUGCUAUGACUAAAUUACUGAAUUUGGGUACAGCUCAUUCCUAGGAACACUGUUGCCGAGCUGUGUGUGAUGCAGGCAGAGCUGAUCAUCUGGCCAGCCCGUGCUGAGCCCUGGAUUCCUGUUCUGGCCAGGCACAUGCUCUCUAGCUUAAAGCCAAGUAAAAAUCCUGGUGUGCACCACUGGCCACCCCACAGCCAGAGCCGAUGGUGUGACCUCAACUUAAAAUGCAUUUCUGACUGUUGCAGUGCCAUCCAUAAUUUAUUUAAAAGUCUCUGAAGCACAAACACUAGGAAUUUGUCCAUGUCGCAGACAAGGGAGAGUGAAAGGAGAAUACAGCCACAGCUUGUCUGAAGGGAUCUCCUGUGUAUGCUCUCCCUUCCCUCUGCAAGUGGACACUUGUGUGGUGAGAGGGGGCACAAGAAAAAAGGUGAAAGCCCAACAGUGUUUGGUAUUGCUGUCAGGAUUCCUGAGGAAUUUAAAAAAAGAGGGGAUACUUGUUCAUUCCUCAGGAGGUACUUGUGAAAGGGCUGAAUCAGAAACAUUUUCAGAAAGACCAAGUAGAUAUCCCUAUUAUUCUUGUUUCUCCAUGUUAACUUUCAAUGAUUUAAAUUAGGAAGUAUCUUCUUGCCUGUGAUGCUGUGUUUCUUUAUCAGAACCAUGUGGUACUUGGCUAAUCAAAAGAAUGCUCUUGACAGAAAGGAAUCUUCCCAAUUGAGUGCCAUCUUCUAGUAUCCUGCUAGGAGCAGUAUGGUCUAAAAGUGCACACAGAUCUAAGCAGGGUUGCAGGUUUGGCAGAGUUGAGAAAAUGUGGGCUGCCUGACCAUGUCUGUACCCCCAAACAUACCAAGUGAAACACUGGAUUGUAUACAAAUUCUGGUCAUUAGACUGAAACUGAAAAGGUGUGUAAAAACCCCUUGCAAUGUAGCGCGAUGUCUCUGUAGUCAUAGAUGUUCUGACCUCAGAAUAAAAAUCUAGGAGUCAAUACAUUGUUUUCUUAGGAACUGCUUUUCUAGAUUCCCUUAAUAAAAGGGAAAAUUCAGGUGCUGAAUCUUAAAAUCUCAUUAAACUUGUACUUUUUAUUUGCCCAUUCACCUGGUCUCCUUUCCUUUUCAAGGCCUCCCACAGUCUCAGGGUAUAUAUCGCUAUGACUCAUCCAAGUAAUACCGAAAUGGACCAACCAGAGGUUAAUGUGCCUUCCUCUUCUGGUACCUUGAUCUUUGUAAAGUUAUGUCACAAACUCAUCACUGUCUUAGGACUGGGUACAUGCGUUGUCUUUUUCUAAGAUGUAUGUGUUGAAGUUGCAACAGGUUUGUACUGUUAACUUGUGACUUGUUCCAUGUGUUUUAGGAUGUGGUGUAGACACAAAUCAAUGCACUGGUUUGUCUUGGGAUCAGUCUUACCUGUGACAUCUAUCAGUGCUUGCUUGUAUGUUAAUGUGUACACAAAUGCUGGAUCUUCCCUGUUGCCUAUCAUGUAUCUGAUGCACAAACUACACAAGGUGUUUUAAAAUGUGCAGUGAUCACAACUUGUUGCAUGAGGGUAGGAUGUCCUACAGGGAAUUCUUUAACGUUCUUUUCCAAAUAUAUUUAAUAAGAUCUAAAGCCUUCAGAGGGAAAAAAAAAAAUCAUGACUUGCUGAUACUUACUGGAUUUUGUUCUGAAUACAGGGUCUGAUAUUUGUUAAUAACUCUUGCAAUACCACCCAUUUAACAAAGCCUUUCUCAGCUUGCUGUUUGUAUCGUGAGCUGUGUCAGUAACAGCACUGGAUCCCAAAUUAUCACAGAAGCUGUUGAGUGAAGCAGUAACAGCUAUCUUCAAAUGUUACAGUGUACAUUUUUAAAUGUAAGGUAAAACUGUUCAAAAUUAUUGAUGCAGGUUGCAAGUGGAACAGUGGGAAAUUGCAGAUAGUAUGUAAAACCAGCCUGUCUGUAUGUGGGGCUGAGCAGUCUGUUACCUUGUAAAUUGUUUCUCCUUUCUGAAAAUUGAUGAUUUAUUUUUUUAAAAACACAAAGACAUUACAUGUUUGGUUUUGUUUUCUGAAUCGGCAAAGGAUACCUUUGUUCUUAAACUCAAACUGGCAUCUGGAAUUUGGGCUGAGUUUCCAUCUCUUAAGCAGAUAGCAGACGAUGGUGUGAUUAAUACAAGAUGUCCCUCCCCAGCUGUAAGGUUAAUUUGAUCAUAAGAGCAUGGAAACAGGAACGCCAAUCAGUGUGGCCUUCAAUGGAUGUGCAUAUCCAUAAUUAACUGAAGUACAGUACUGCACUCUGAUCCAUGAGGCUACUUCUGUUUUUAGAAUCAGCACAAUUAGUUAGCAGUGUAUUGACAUUAAUACAUGGCCAAGGAGCUCCCAUGUAUGUGUGUUUCAUGUGCUAACUGUAUCUGUUCUCUCUGUACUCCAGUGCAGAUUUAACCUGGAGUUCUCUUUUUACUUCUUGCUAACUUCAGAGUGUCUUCAAAUUCAGUAAAAGGUCCUUUUUUUAUCACAGUCACUUUUCAGAGUAGAAUAGGUGGGUUUAACUUUUUCCAACCUUCAGCAUCUUCCUCUUAUCCCAUUUCUUCCUUGUCCACCUUUAAAAAUCAGUUCAAAGGUGCUUGCCUAGUCUGAAAAAUACCAAGUCACAAUAAAAAGAAAAACUGUAGCUCACUGUAGAAAGAUCACUCUGUGAUUUUACCAUAAACUUCAGUGGCUGGCUAGCUGCCUCAAGUGGAGACUCCACUCUUGCACAGUCUACAGAAGCUGAAAUUCUCUUUCGUCAGUAUUGUAUGGUGGAUGUCAUCAGAUCAGGAAGUGGAAGUGCCCUGCGUCUGUGUGUUUGUUAAACUCAUCGGUGGCGGUUUAGUCAACCAGAGAACUGCCAUCUUUGGCUGCUACUCAGUGUCAUAACUAAAGAUUUCAUUGAGGGCAAAGCCAGGAGGGUGUGUUACUGACUUUCUGCUGGAUUGAUCCCAUUUAAAGACUUUCUCCAAAAAUUUUUUUGACUUUUGCAUAUUUGGUGGAUUAUGAAAAAAACUAUGCUAAAGUAGGGCUACAAGCUAAACUAACCCUGUGCUCAGAAGGCAGAAGUUAUUAUAAUGAGUUUUGGCCAGCAGUAAUGUCAAAGGCUGGUUUGUGCUCAGAAAUGAGCUGGUAACGGAGUGCUUGAGCAAUGGAAGCCUUGAGGGUUUGCUCUGUCAUGCCUUAUGUUUAUGCAACUGCAGAUUAGUUGCUACCUGAGCUUGCGAAACUGCUGGUCAUCCCUCUUCAGAUGUGAAGAUGGCAUGGGGAUGAACCAGUUUCCUCAGUAGUCACUCACUCCCCCUCAUCACUCAAGGUUACCAAUGCACUUGUCUCUUUGUUUUCAUGAUUGGCUAUGACUAGCAUGCUUUACAGCUGCCACCAGCCACCUCCACGUGCUUCCUGCCAGGAUGGUGGAGCAAAAGGGCCUUGUCUGCAGCUCCGUUCACCUGGUUGAUUGUUGAUGUGCAGGGGUGUAACAGACCAGCUGGGGCUUACAGCUUCAGUUGGCUGCUCUGGCCUCCUCUCACUGUGCAGGUGUGAUAGUGGGAUCAUUACAAAAAGAUCUGGAUAAAUAACUUCUAAUGGGCUGUGUCACUCUUGUUCAAAAUGCUGUGUUUCCAUUCUCAGCAUCUCAUCCUGGCCUCGCUCCCGUCUUGCCGCCUUCUCUGCCCCUUGGGACUUGAGCAAGUUCCCUGUCCUCUCAUGGUUUACUAGCUCACGUACCAGUUCUGCAAAGCCUGGGAGCACCUGUUAAAGACCUACUGCAGUUUAUGAGAAUUCUGCACUCACUUAGGCAGUAGCUUGCUGAAUUCAGGCCUUGUUCACAGUUUCCCUAUUCAUUUGUCUCAGCCCUGGGUAUCUCCCUGGACGGGUAUGCACCUUUUGGUAGGAAAGACUUUGCUCCAAACUCGUUCCUGUUCCAUGAAGGAGUUGAUUUCUCUACUGCUGCCUUUUUCAAUUUGGUGGCUUUUAUUUUUCUCGUUUAUUGUGGGAUUCACUGCUUAUGUACAAAAUCGUACUGACUUUCUCCACUCUCCUGAACAUCAUACAGGGACCCACCCCGUGAGGCAUCAGAACUACUUGUCUACUUCCAAGUUGCACAGAAACAAGGAUCUCUUACACAAAUACCUAUUCACAAGUGGAAAGGUAUCUCUGGGUAGAAUAGGUGAGGGAGCAGUUUAAGAAUUUUACAUAGAGGAACAGUAACUGAGUUUUUUGUUUUUUGUUUUUUUAUAAAAAUUGCUUUAACAGGAGGUUUGCCUGUGUUCUAAUCCACAGAAAGGUGCAAUGUAAACUGAGGUUUUCUUUUCAUCAAUGCAAAAUGUGCCUCUCAACUGUAAUGCAAAAGUCAGUCUCUGUCUCUCUCUGCUUGCAAAGGAAGAAGUUUAACUGAAGACUGAUAUAAUAUGUUUCUUGCUCUUACGUGUAAUCAUCUACACAACAGUCCUUGCUAGUCUUUCCCAAGCAUCAUACAGCACUAUCCCUAUUAGAAAGUAAAACAGGGAUUGUAUUGAGCAGUGGAACCUGCUGAACUUCCUUGGUUUGAGAGAGACACUGGAGAAGAGUCCAGGUUCCAUGUGUUUUAAAUAUAACUUUAAACCAAUGCAGCUACUCUCUCAGAUCAACAUCACUUCCUACGUUUCCCUCCAUUCAGAUGGGAAUUUAAAAGUAAACCCAGCAAUAUGUGAUGCAGUUGAUGUGCUUGCAGGUGGAACAGGGGGUUUUUGAAAUUUGAGGAUUGAGAUCUCUUGUGGAAGAACUCAGUGUGAGUGCAAGAUCUUGGAUUGCAGCUCUUUUGCCAGCUUGCCAAAUGCAGUCAAGUACUCUGGACUCCUCUGAAGAAGACUGUGGUAGAAGAGCUGUGAAGAUGUAGGCUGGAACUGAUCAUUUUAGUCACCUGUGUUUUGCUUGACUCCAUGGACAAUGUAACAGUGAUUUUUACAGAUUGUUUUCCCUGUGUCAGUUGCAAAUAACUCUUAAUUUGCCAUUUGGAAGAAAACUGUUAAUAGAUAGAUUUCCAGAUCAAAUUAAGAGCCUAAUUUUCCAUCUUUCAUUAACCGGGUUACUGUGUUCACAUGCCAGAAAGAUGUUGCUCUUUGAAAAAGCAUGUUAGUGUAUGUGGCAAUGACCCAUGCACUUUUUAAGUACAUAGAUCUGUGCAUUCUCACCUGAGUGUUGUUAACUAUGCUGUAGUCUGACAAACGUAUCUUUUACUACUGCCCUGUUAUAUAGAUAAUUGUAAUUAACUGCAGUUUGUUUUUUCCACUACUUGAAGUUGUGUGAUCUGAAAAUUGGUGAACAAAAAGUAUUUGUGCAUCUUACUAUGGGUAUCUCUAAAUAAAAUGUAUUUGUAUAGUG